rnacentral:lncRNA from 1 species
AAUAUGUACCCUGUCAGCCCCACCUUCUCUAACCAACCAUUUCCCAUGGAUGCAGUCACAAAAACUUCAAGAAUGAUGCAUCCAGCAAAAAGAAAAAUACCAUGUACAAACAAGAGCCCAAAGAAAAUUUUAUUGAGUAUAUUACAAGGUUUACAAAGAGGUAAAAACAUAAGAUGUCUCAUUAUAUACUGCUGAAAGGAGAAAAGAAACAACCAAAACAACUUUUUUUGCCCAACUUAACUAACAUCUCAAACAGUAUAUCCAAUCAACUGGCACAAAGUAAAGAAUCUCAAAGGGAAGAAUAUAUAUAUACCUUCCACAAGCAUUUCUAAAAUUCAAAUUUUCAUGUUAAAAAAUUGAUUUCAUUGGAAAAGAUUGUGAACUUCAUAUUAUUAGAUGCUAAUGCAAUGAUUUCACUAAUUUAACUUGAAGGAAAAUAAAAGAAAUUAAGGACCUAUAACUUGAUGACUAGAAGAAAAAAAAAAAAGGUGACAUAGAGGAUGUUUGCUUUUCCUUCAAUUCCCAUAACAUUUUCUGUUGUCUAUAAUUUUAGUGACAUUUCAUCCAACCAACAGCUGUAGAAAUCUAGUGAUUCUCUUACCUUGUACUCUGGGACUGUAUAUCCUGCACCCUGCAUUUAUAGUGUAGUCUAAUUGUUAAAUCAAUUCUCAAUUAAAGCACACUGGUUUAUAAUCAUUAUUUUCAUUAUUAUUAAAAAUAUAAUAAUUAAGCAAAAAAGAAUUGCUUAUACCUUUAUGGUUAGAAAGGUGAAGUUGUAAUCAUAUCCUUGCAAGUACCUACAAGAGAAAUGAUAGCAUUUUAAAAGGUCAUUGAGUACAAAAAUAAAAAUAGAUAAAGAUUCUUAAGCAUUGUAGUAUGGAACCAAUUAGUUUUAGUUCUCAACUCAAUUUUAGGACUGAGUUCUCGAGUUAAGGCACAGUAGCAGCAAAAAAAAAAAUUGUAAAGGAGAUGGAGGGUUUACCAGCAACUUGAUCAUUAGAAAUCCAUAACCUCCAUUCAUCAACAAUCUUAUAUCAAAGAGAUCAAGUCCAUGUCUGAAUUCAAGCGAAAGGCACACGCAUAUCAUGGUUUCCACCACAGGUCAUUUGCAGUGUUAGAAAUUUUCAUUUUGUGGAAGAGAAUCACAGCUGAUCGAAAUUAAAAAUGAUAUUUGAAGAAGUUAGUUAAAUUACAUAUUUAUUAUAUUUGAAAAAGGUAAUUACCGAGUUGCGCUCCAAGACACACUUGAAUGGUCGAGAUAUAACAACUUUAGUUUGCUGAUCCCUCAUUGCGCACCUUUAAAAGCCUGAGAAUGAGAUCAUUAUUCCGCAAUAAAUGUACUACCAAUUCUGUGGUAGCAGCAUCAGCAGAGAACCACUUAUCAACCAUUUCGUUGAUUAGUUCUGAUGCUUUUGGUAAAUCCUCAUGCUUGAGAAACCCUUGAAUGAUGAUAUUAUAACAACAAUUAUUUGGUAAACAUCCUACCUUUUCCAUGUCUUUAAAUACCUUGUACACUUCAUCCAUUAAUCCUUGUUGGCAGAGUCCUUUCAUAAUUGCAUUAUAUACAUAAAAAUCAGGCUGUAAACCAAUUUCAAAAAGACUAGAAAAAAGUUCCUUGGCAUCAUUAAUCUUCCCAACUUUGCACAUACCAUUGAUCAGACUGCUAUAGAUCACAAAAUUAGGCUUCAACUGACUUUUCUCCAUUUCUUUCAAUAGUGUGAGUGCCUCAUCGAGAUUCCCCUGUCUACACAAGCCAUCAAUCAUAAUUGAGAAGGUUACUAUGUUUGGCUGUUGACCAUGAGAGGACAUAUUCUUCAAGAGCUCCUGUGCAGUUUGGGGCCUCCCUGCUUGAAACAUACCCUCUAUAAGAGUAGAAUAAGUAACAACAUCAGGAACUAAACAUUUAUGAGACAUUUCAUCAAAAAGUUCCUUUGCAUCAUCUAUCAUUUUGCACUUACAAUAUCCAUUGAUCAAUAUGUUGUAGCUAAAAAUGUCAGCUAUUUCACUGGUCACCAUCAGAUCAAAUACCUUUCCAGCCUUAUCAAUUUGCUUGCACAGACAAUAUCCAUCCAUCAAUGAAUUAUAAGUGACAACAUUAGGUUCCACACCUCUUUGAAUCAUUAUUUUGAUUAUAUUCUGUGCAAUUGAAACCAGUCCUUUCUUACAAAGAGUGUCGAUCAAUAUAUUGAAGGUAAAAACAUCAAGGGAUAUGUUCCUCCCUGUUGAAUCCCACAUCGGUUAUGAAAAGGGGUAAUGUGCCCCUUAUAUGGGUCACAGGCACUCCUCCCCCUUGAGCUAGCUUUUGAGAUGAGUUAGGACUGACCCAAAUUUAACACUCCCCACCAUUUCUUUCAACAAGGCCAAAGCUUCCUUGAAUCGGUCUGAAUUGCAAAGACCAUCAAUUAAGGAAUUGUAGGUGACCACAUCAGGCUCUACACCUCUUUGAAUCAUUAUAUUGAAUGUAUUUUGAGCCUCUGAAACCAUUCCAUCCUUACAAAGAGCAUCAAUCAAUACACUGAAGGUAUAAACAUUAGGUGAUAUGUUCUGCUCCACCAUUUCAUUCAUCAAGGCCAAAGCUUGGUUCUUUUGGCCUAAUUUGCAAAUACCAUGAAUUAAACUAGUGUAAGUGAUGACAUUAGCUGAAAUGCCCUUAUUCCUCAUUUGAGAGAAGAGCUCUAAAGCCUCACCAACUAGCUCAUCCUUGCAAAGGGCGUCAAUGAUUNNNNNNNNNNNNNNNNNNNNNNNNNNNNNNNNNNNNNNNNNNNNNNNNNNNNNNNNNNNNNNNNNNNNNNNNNNNNNNNNNNNNNNNNNNNNNNNNNNNNNNNNNNNNNNNNNNNNNNNNNNNNNNNNNNNNNNNNNNNNNNNNNNNNNNNNNNNNNNNNNNNNNNNNNNNNNNNNNNNNNNNNNNNNNNNNNNNNNNNNNNNNNNNNNNNNNNNNNNNNNNNNNNNNNNNNNNNNNNNNNNNNNNNNNNNNNNNNNNNNNNNNNNNNNNNNNNNNNNNNNNNNNNNNNNNNNNNNNNNNNNNNNNNNNNNNNNNNNNNNNNNNNNNNNNNNNNNNNNNNNNNNNNNNNNNNNNNNNNNNNNNNNNNNNNNNNNNNNNNNNNNNNNNNNNNNNNNNNNNNNNNNNNNNNNNNNNNNNNNNNNNNNNNNNNNNNNNNNNNNNNNNNNNNNNNNNNNNNNNNNNNNNNNNNNNNNNNNNNNNNNNNNNNNNNNNNNNNNNNNNNNNNNNNNNNNNNNNNNNNNNNNNNNNNNNNNNNNNNNNNNNNNNNNNNNNNNNNNNNNNNNNNNNNNNNNNNNNNNNNNNNNNNNNNNNNNNNNNNNNNNNNNNNNNNNNNNNNNNNNNNNNNNNNNNNNNNNNNNNNNNNNNNNNNNNNNNNNNNNNNUGGUGAAUAGCCUUUAAGGAUUCUGAUGCUACUAGCUUAGAGUAUGAAGUCGCUCUGUCUCACAUUAAAGGGUUAGCCUCUGAUUAUAUAUUACUAACCUUUCUUUCUUAUCUUUGGGGUUGUUAACAAAACAGCGAGAUUUCUCUUCUCGAUGGUUUGCUUUUCCCUUGCCCCAGCUCGGGCUUCCAUGCCGAGCUCUCGAGGUUCCGAAUCUUCAAGGCUGUACACCUGUGUCGAGUCAGUCUCAAUUGUUUCAAUUGUUCGAACUUUUAGGUCCUCUCGGACUUUGAAGUCGAUCGCGAAUUUCAGGUCAACAGGAUCAAAGUUUGCUCUAUCUCCUGAUGAUGUCUUUCCGUAUGUGUUUUACGAUGUUGAAAGUUCCACUUGUUCCAUUGCUCUUCAGAAUGUUUCGCUAAUUUUCUGGUGUUGCCUUCACUUGUUCCAUUGCCCUUCAGAAUGCCUUGCUGGUUUUUUGUUGGUGCUUCGGGCAGGUGAACGGGUAAUGAUGCCGAUCUCCCUGGGACUUUAACUCGAAGACUUAUGUUUUUCAUGAGAUCGGCAUAUAAUAUCUGAGCUCGUUCGUAUGUAUCGCAAAUCACAUCUCGAGGCGGAGCUUAGUUGGUUUACGAAGUCGAUUUUCCGAACUAUAAGAAUUCCUCGGAAUCGAAGGCUAAGGUAGUAGGGUAGGCGAUAGUGAUGUAAACGUAGAUGAUGAUGUAUCUGGGCGUGUAAAUCCUUUAAGGAUAGCCUUUUAUCCCGUAGUGUUGGUAUUUGUGACAUGCUGUAAUGUGUUUUUCUUUUAAUGAAAUUUUUAUUUUGCGUUCAUACUCGAACUGUCCUUUCUUUAUCAUAAAUAAAGUACUUAAAUUGCUUGCUCUGUAACUUUUCCCGAAGGAUCUGCUGUAUUGCUUUCUCCUUCUUGCCCUUUUAAUCGUUCAAAGCUAGAGUUCAUUCAGUCAACUGAGCUUUUGACUUACUUUUUUCUGAGCUGGACUAGUCGUACUCGUGAGCUCUGUUUUAAUCCUCUGAGCCGAGCUCUUGACCUUCUUAGGUAAUAAGCAGGGCUGGUCUUUAUCGUGCUUUCAUCUGCUUGUGUCUUUGAGCUUUUUAUUUGAGCUGGAUCAGUCGUAACCCUGAGCUCUGCUUUUACCCUAUGAGCCAAGCUUCCGACCUACUUAGGUAAUGAACAAGGCUGAUCUCUAUCACCGGGUGAGAGGUCCAAGUGGAGCCUGGUCUUACGGUUUGAGCGAGUUGGAUUUGUUCUAUGCAGAUGGCAUGUGGGCUUUCGGGCCUGUCCGUCAAUUGCUUUCGGGCGAUGGGCUAUUGCCGUGGGCCCAACCCUUAAUAGAGGUGGCGAAGUCCAGCGGCCGUCGGUUAUUGCCCCUUUACCUUCGAUUAUUGUCCCUUUACCUUCGCGUCAGUUAUUGUAUAACUGAUGAGGGGGUAAACUUCGAGAGUAAUUAAUGACCGCGCCGCUCCAAGACAAAAUUGUUCAGAGUGACAUUGCGUUUCAUUAUUGCCUCUUUGUCUCUCGAAGAAACUUGUUCUCGUCUGCUCUCUGUUUUCCUUCGACUUCUUCUGCCUCCUCGACCUUAUUGCUUUUCAGGUACGCUCUUUUACUCUUCCAUGGAGGAUUCUAAACUUCCCGAUGUUGUCAAUCUCGAGUCGCACAUUACUCCUUCCUCCAUAACCAAGCAUAUUUCUCGGAGUUAUUUAGAUACUCCUCUUUACCUUAUUCGCGCUCCUCUCCGGAAUGAAAGGAUAGUUCUCCCUAAACCUGCCCCUCCUGGUUUGGUAGAUCCCCAGAGGGGUCUUCGCAUAGUCUUCUUUCUUAAACAGAGGGAUUUUGGUCUGACUUUCCCCUUCACCCCUUUCUUCAUCGAGGUUUUUCAAUAUUUUGGGAUAACCCCCCGGAUGUUGUCCCCGAACUCCAUUUUGUUUAUGGCUUGUUUUGAAUCUAUUUGCCUGAGUUGGGGUUUUACACCCACAGCGUGUCUAUUUGUCACUUUCUUCCGCCUUGUUAGGGCAACUCAGAAAUUUUACUAUUUUUCUCCCCGUGGUGGAUUGUCUCUUUUCACGGGCUACAAGGAUUCAAUAAAGGGAUGGGUAGAGAAUUUCCUUGUGGCGGAGCUAAGAAAAGAUGUCGGCGUGUCAUGGGGAGUGGGGCUAGACUGGGAGGAUGUCCCCCCGGGCAUCAACGACCUGCCCCAACUAAGUCUCACCGAGCAGGUGGGGUAUCUCCGACUGACUUCUUCGACAAGAAGUAUGACGUCGAGAGAUGUAUGUUCGCGUCUAAUCUUAGGAAUAUCCGGGACACGGGUAUAAUGCCUUGUUUAGCAACUCCGCUUUUCUUCGUAAGUGACAUUAGAAAGUACGCUAACUCUUUCUGACUUUGUGUUUUUUGGCAGCUUCUAACGUUAAAAUGGAUGAGAUCAAGCCCCCGAAGAACUUAGUUCUGUCUAGGGAGAGUAUGAACGCUGCUUUAGAUGCCCUCCUGGCUGGGCGCCCCGUGCCUGAGGUCGCUGCAGAGGUGGCUCGGGUUGUUUCUACCAAGAAGGUUAGCCGGUCUCUUGCUAGAGCUCCUUCUCGGGCUCCAAAGUCGAGCUCCCAUGGUGCCAGACCCUCUCGAUCAUCUCGUCAGGGUAGGUCGGACCCUGCCUUGAAACCUGUUCAGGAGGCUAAAUCUGGUCAGGGUUCUACAGAGGAUGCGGAAGGAGCUCCCCUAACUGUUGUGAAGCAGGCCAGGGAUAUUGGACAGAUGAGGACGGAUCUUGCUCUUUCUGCUGAGGAGGCACCAGGGGGGAGGCUUGAAUCCCCUAUUAUUGAAGAGGGGGAUCCUGGAGCAGGACUGGAGAUCGUUCUUGUUGACGAUAGUGCCCCAGAGGUUCCUACCAGGGGUGCCCCUGAGGAGGUGAGGUCUGACCUUGCCAAGGGCGAGGAUGUCAUAGAGAAGGUAGGGGACAAACGUCCUGCCUCCCUCGAAGUGCCAUCCCCGGCCCCAGCUCAAAAGAGAUCCAAGGCUUCUAAGGGAUCAGCUCCAGCUCUCCCUCCCAUUGGGAAAGAGAAAGAAGUCCCUGUGAUACCACUGCUGUCUGCUCCUGAUAACGACAUUCUGAAUGCAAAGGAUAUCACUCAUCAGUCUCCGGCUAGCGUGGUUGCUGAGAUUGUCAAGGAACGGAUGUUCGGUGGCGUCUUGGAGGCUUCAGAUCCGCGCUUGCUUGCUCUCACUGGCCUUUUGGCCAGCUCUACUAGGGAGCAAGCAGCGUUCCGUUCCCGACCUCGCGAGGAGCUCGGAGCUACGAUCAGGGAGAUGCUCCUGAUGGUAAGCUAAGCUACCUCCUUUGCUUUUAUUCUGGUUUUUUUUGUGUUAACAGUCUUUUCCUUUGCUUUAGGUGAUGGGCCUCUUCAUGGAGGUGGAUGCCCGUGAUCACUUGCUUCGGGAGUCUGUGGACCGCCGGAUAGAGGAGGCGCGCCUGGAGGAGAAUUUGUCUGCCACUAGUGAUGCCAGGGGUAACCUUACAGCGGCUCGAGCUCAUACUGAGUUCCUCCAAGCGGAGCUGCAUUCUGCCUUGGAGGCCCUCAAAAGAGCCGACGAGAGGACGGCUGAGGCACAAGAGCAUACUAAGUCCUUGGAGGUAGAGUUGUCUCAUACUCGCAAGGUUCUCAAGGAGUCUGAUGAGAGGGCGGCUGCAGCAGAGAUUCGGAGUGAAGAAGUUUUAAAGCAGCUGUCCUCCCUGGUGGAGACUCUUCGUGAAAGGGAUGAGGCGAUAAGCCAGAAGGAGGCGGUCCAGCGCCAGUAUGAGGCCCUGAAGGCUGAUUUUGAAGGGCUUCAGGUUCACCUAAAUAAGGUGAAUAUUCAAAAGGAGGGGGCCUUGGUUCGGGUGGAGAUCCUUGAGCAGGAGCUGAGCACGAGUUCUGCGCGUAUCAGAGACCUGGCUUCAUCAGCCGAGGAGUCUACGCUUCGUAAUCAACAGCUUAGCCAUGAAGUCAGGGCUGCAGAGCGUAAAUGUUCAGCCCUGCUCAAGGUGGUUAAACAUUCGGAGGAGAAGAUCCAGCGGGAAUGUGAGAGGCGGCUGGAGGAGUAUCAGGAGUCGGAUGAGCUGAAAGGAAAGAUUGAGUAGGCCUGUGAAGCUCACCUCCAAGACUAUAAGGAUUCUUCUGAAUUGAAGGCGGUUAUAGCUGAGACCUGCGAGGUGCAUCUGGACGAGUAUAAAGCCUCCGAGGAGAUGAAGGCUGCUAUUUGGAAAAAAGCCUUUCGUAUGUUUAGAUCUGGCUAUAAUAGGGGUUUAAGGGAAGCCAGACGUGCUCCUGAUACUCCUCUGACAAAACUUCGAGCUAGAGAAAUGGAUUCUGAUGGAGAAGAGGUUCUGUAUGGGGAGGAUGAUUUCCCCUUGCCUAGGGGGACCUCUCGUAUUGCGGCUAGGUCUCCUGGGGAAGAGUCCGAGCAACAUGGGGACAAUAUGGAGGACUUCAGGACUGAAGGCGAAGACCUCGAGCCUGAGACGGGAGGCCCUGACCCAGGGUUGGAGGGUGCCAGAUCUCCUCUGGAUGUAAAUGUGGAUAGAGAUACUAUAGGUGAUGAUAUUCUGAGAGAUGUAAGUCCCUUGAGGACUGUUUUUCCUUCAGAUGUAUCAGAUAAAUAAGUUGUACUAUCUUCUUCUUCUAAUGAGAGUUUACUUUCUUUUACUUGAACUAUUGUUGCUUUUAUUUUCUUCUUGAACUUAUCUUUUCUUAUCGUAAUUGGAGUACUUAACCUUUAUAUUCGACUGAGAUAUUUCACUAAGAAACUUCAGAUCGCAUACCUUUUAAUGGUAAAUAACAGGGCUGAUUGUAGCUGAGGUAUUCUCUGUUUGAUGCUAAAUUUUCCUCGGAUUGCCCCUUUACUUCCGCAAUAUUUAUUACAUUAGUAGUGAGGAAGUAAAUUUCUGUAUUUUAUUUGCGCUCGCAUGGCCUCCCCUUAGGCGAUUUUAUUUUGCCUUUUUUGGUUGUGAGAUCGGCUGUCUGGCGCUUGCCUUUCUGUGUGUUCCACGGGGAGGUCGGCUUUUGUCGUUUUUGCUUCUUGUUUGGGUUGUUCUUGUUAAAUGUCUGCUUAUGACCAAUUGGCUCGAGCUAGGAACGCGCUCUUUUGCCUGUAUCCAUCCUUCUGAAUGUCACAUAUUGCGAAACUAUCCGAGCUAGGAGAUCGGUUCUUUGCUUUUUGCUUUAGGCUUUUAUACCUGCAAUUUGCAGCUCGUCCUAUACUUCUGAGUAUUGUCAGGACGCGUUGCAGUUCGGACCUUUUUCUAGGCUAGCGAACUCAGCACUAGAAGUUGAUUUGUGAGGUUAAUGUUGCGCCGAGCUCGCUUUUUGGAGAUUGGCCUGGGGCUAUGACGCUCUUGGCGAUUUUGCCCCGAGCUCUUCCGGGAGGUCGGAAUUUGAUUUUUCAUCAGUAACUUAGGAUUUAUCUUCUUUUUUUUUUUUUCUUUUUUUCCGGGAGUUCUAGGGGAUCCCGGUCUUCUUUGUUUUCCCGGGAGUUCUAGGGGAUCCCGGUCUUCAUGCUCCGGGAGGUCUUUUAAGAUCCUCACCAGCCGUUUUUAUUUUGUUUUCCCGGGAGUUCUUGGGGAUCCCAGUCUUCUUUGUUUUCCCGGGAGUUCUUGGGGGAUCCCGGUCUUCAUGGUUUUCGUAUUUUGUUUUUCUUAUUGAAAAGUGACAUUCAUAAUAGAAAUAACAUUAUCGUAUAAAGAAUGUCAUUAUUUUAUUCAGUUGUGUUUUUCAAAGUAUAAUAACAUUUUUUUUUUUUUACAAAUGUUUCAAGGGAAAUACCUCUUCAAGUGUUGGAUAUUCCAAGCAUGGGGCUCGGGAUUUCCUUUCAUAUCUUCAAUUCGAUAUACUCCUGGUUUGACUACUUUCGUUACCCGGAAUGGGCCUUCCCAGGUCGGUGCUAGCUUGCCUACCGCCGCUCUUUUUCCCGUAGCCUCCAGGUUUCUCAAGGCUAGGUCCCCCACUUUCAAGUUUCUUUCUCGGACCUUUUGGUUAUAAUAUCGUGCUGCCCGUUGCUGAUAAGCUGCAGUUCGGAUUUGAGCCUCUUCUCUAAUUUCUUCGAGAGCAUCCAGGUUGCUCCUUAUCUUAUCAUCAUUAGUGUUCUCACUGACGAAUUGGACUCGAUGAGUGGGGAUCUGCAACUCCACUGGGACUACCGCCUCUGUGCCGUAGGCAAGUGCAAAAGGUGUUUCUUUAGUGGACGUUCUGGGGGUAGUCCGAAGUGCCCACAGGAUACUGUUGAGCUCUUCUGCCCAGUUUGCUUUUGCUCCAUCCAGCCGCUUCUUUAAUCCCUGGAGGAUAGCCCUGUUAGUAACCUCUGUUUGGCCAUUAGUCUGGGGAUGAGCCACGGAGGAGAAUUUGUGCCAUAUGCCCAUGUUUGCUGUAAAUACUUUGAAAGUACUACAGUCGAACUGUCUGCCGUUGUCUGAGAUAAGCACUCUUGGUAUACCAAAUCUGCAAAUGAUGCUUCCCCAUACGAAGUCUUAUCAUCUUGCGAGCUGUGAUUGUGGCUAUUGCUUCUGCCUCUGGCCAUUUUGAGAAGUAUUCUACAGCCACUACUACGAACUUUUUCUGCCCCGUGGUCUUGGGGAAAGGUCCCAGGAUGUCUAUUCCCCAUUGUGAGAACGGCCAUGGGCUGGAUAUGCUGGCUUGUGGAGUGGCUGGAACCUUGAUGGCGUUAGCGAAUCUUUGGCAUACGUCACACCUUCGGACGAACUCUUCUGCUUCCCUUUUGACGGUGGGCCAGUAGUAUCCUUGCCUGAAUAUUUUAUAGGCUAACGUCUCUGCCCCUUCGUGAGCUCCACAUACUCCCCUGUGUAUCUCUUCCAUCACCCUUAUAGCCUCCUCCGGGCUCACGCACCGGAGCCAUGGACUGGACUUGCCUUUUCUGUACAAGGUCCCCCUUACUGCUUGGUAAUUGGCAGCUCGAGUUGCUAUCUUCUUGGCUUCCUCCUUAUCCUCAGGGAGUUUUCCCUUCUCCAGGUACUCUAGGUAUGGGGUCAUCCAAGUUGGGCUUUGUUCCACCUGCAACACCGUGUUAGUUUUACUAAAAGCAGGCACGAGAACGUGUUGUAUGUAUACUUCAUCAGGGAGCUGUUCUAGCUCUUCUUUGGACAAUCGGCUGAGCAGGUCGGCUUCCUCGUUCUCUUCUCGUGGUAUUCUUUGGAAUUUGAUGGUAACUCCCUGAUCUAUGAACUCGGCCUCUAUUGCUUUUACUUUUGCCAGAUAACUCUGCAUGGUUGGAUCCCUAGCCUGAUACGCCCCAGUAACCUGAUUGACCACCAAUUGUGAGUCGCUAUUUACUUCGAGGUCGGUUGCCCCUACCUCCAUUGCCACCAUCAUUCCGUUUAUUAGGGCUUCAUACUCCGCCGCAUUAUUGGAAGCCUGGAAUUCUAGGCGCAGGGCGUAGCAAACCUUAAAGUCUCCAGGCCCCUUAAGCAUGAUUCCUGCACCGCUGCCUCCAGCGCCUGAAGCCCCGUCUACGUAUAACCUCCAAUUGAACUUUUGGAAAGGUUCUUCCUUCCUCUCCAUUCUCGUUGCUUCGGAGGAUGAUUCCCCUUGUUCCUUACUGAACGUGCAUUCUGCUAUGAAAUCGGCAAGGGCUUGAGAUUUUAUAGCUGUUCGAGGUCGGUACUCCAGGCAGUAUGGGCUAAUCUCGAGGGACCAUGCGAGCAUCCGACCUGAAGUUUCUGGUCUAUGCAGAAUCUUCUUUAAUGGUUGAUCCGUCAUCACUACUCCUUGGUGGCUUUCCAGGUAAACCCUGAACUUCCGGACUGCCAACAAUAGAGCGUAUGCUAUUUUCUCAAUGUUCAUAUAUCUGACCUCGGCAUCUUUAAGCACCUUGCUAACAUAGAAUACAGGCUUCUGCUCCCCUUCUUCCACCCUUACCAAUACGGCACUAACUGCUUGUUCAGAGGCUGCCAGGUAUAUCAGAAGUUCUUCACUUUCUAUGGGGCUACUGAGCACAUGGGGCGAGCUGAGAUAACUUUUGAGCUCUUUGAAGGCUUCACGACAAUCUUCUGUCCAUUCGAAGUUUGGCACUUUCCUCAAUUUUCUGAAGAAUGGUAAACACUUUUCUGCCGACCGUGACAUGAAUCGAUUGAGUGCCACUACUCUCCCUGUCAGUUUCUGGACGUCCCUUACGCAGGUUGGUUCUGACAUAUUUAAUAUGGCCUCUACUUUCUCCGGAUUGGACUCGAUGCCUUUCCCACUCACCAUGUACCCCAGGAAUUUUCCUCCUCUGAUAAAAAAGGCGCACUUUGCCGGAUUCAACUUCAUUCUGUACUGAUCUAAUACUCCAAAUACCUCCUUCAGAUCUGCCACGUGCUGUUGGAAAGUUAGGCUCUUGACCACCAUAUCGUCUACGUAAACUUCUACAUUCCUGCCGAUCUGCUCUUUGAAGAUUUUGUUCAUCAGUCUUUGGUAAGUUGCCCCGGCGUUUUUCAAUCCGAAAGGCAUGGCUUUAUAGCAAUAAGUCCCAUCUUCCGUUAUGAACGAGGUUUUUUCUUCAUCCGACCUAUACAUUGGGAUUUGAUGAUAACCAGACAUUGCAUCCAAGGACGACAUGUAAUCAAAACCGGCCGUAGAGUCGACCAUUUUAUUAAUAUCAGGGAGGGGAUAACAAUCUUUAGGGCAGGCCUUAUUCAGAUCAGUAAAGUCUAUGCACAUCCUAUAUUUGCCAUUGGCUUUUUUGACUAAUACAGGAUUGGCUAACCACUGCGGGUACAUAACUUCUCUAAUAAAGCCUGCCUCCUCUAGCUUCUGUACUUCCUCCUUGGUGGCCUGCUACUUUUCCCUUCCUACUACCCUCUUUUUCUGCUUUAUUGGUCUGGUUUCAGGGAGGACAUUCAUUCUAUGGGUCAUCACCCCGGGGUCAAUUCCGGGCAUGUCCGAGGGUUUCCAGGCGAAGCUUGAUGCAUGACCUCGAAUCAAGGACAUCACCUCGGUUUUCUGCUCCUUGGUGAGGCCGGCGUUGAGACUGAAGGUUUUGUUUGUUUCCGUUUCUGAUAAGGAGAAAGUCUCUAGUUCCCCCACCGAUUCUGUUCUGGCUUCUGUUUUCUCAUCCCGGACCUCCAGGACUUCUGAAUCCAUCUUUUCUGCUGUUAAUCUCGGCUCUGCUACGAUAGCCAGGUACACUGCCCUUACUUUCUCUUGACUUCCCCGAACUGUUCCCACCCCUGCUUCUGUGGGGAAUUUCAUUGCCAAGUGCCUGAUACUGGUGACAGCUUCAAAGUCGAACAGCACAGGUCGUCCCAGAAUCGCGUUGUAGCUCAGAGGGAGUUUAGCCACCAAGAACACCGCAUAAUGGGUGCGAGCCCUCGGGGCCUCUCCCAAAGUAAGGGCUAGCUUUACUUUCCCUUCCACUGUUACUGGUGCUCCUCCAAUCCCUUUAAUCGGCGCUUGAUCCCGAACCAGUUGCUCUUCCGGAAUGCCCAUCUGCUGGAAGACUCAAUAAGGCAACAAAUUUACCUUGCUUCCGUCAUCCACCAAGAUUUUCUUUACCCGAUAAUUAUGAAUAACAACUUCAAUGACAAGGGCGUCAUCGUGAGGCAUCUGAACACCCUGAGCAUCCUCCGAGGAGAAAGUGAUGGUUGUUGAAGAGUGUUCAACAAUUUGCAUGACCUCGGCGUUGCUAGUUUCUCCUUCUCUGCUUCUCUUUUUUUCCCCUUCGGCUCAUCCGACCUCCCGUGCCUCCUACGAUCAUGUUGAUAGUUCCACUGGACCCAUCAUUCACAGCGUUAGCUCCUGUUCUUCUCAGCGUUUGAGCUGCCGGACUGGGUUGAGGUCUCUGUCCCUCCGGUUUCUUUACAAAGUUCUUUAGGUGCCCUCUUUUUAUCAACCUCUCAAUUUCUGCAAUCAACUGGAAACAAUUGUUGGUGUCGUGACCGUGAGUUCGGUGGAACUGACAAUAUUUGUCAGGAUUUCGCUGGUCAGCUUCUGUUUUCAGGGGCAUGGGCCAUUGCAAGAAUUCUUUGUCCUGAACGGCUACGAGCACUUCGGCUCUAGAGGCAUUAAGUGGGGUUGGCUUCUCUGGAACCCAUGAAGGAAGUGGCCUUUGUUCUGAGGACCGAGGAGAAAAAGGUCUUUGGUCCCUUCACUCCCAAGGCUGUCUGUAAGGUUCGGACCUUUUGCCAUGUUUCUUUUCAUGCUUCUCCGGCCUCCUUUCCUCUGGGGCUUUCUCCUUGCCUGUCGUUCCCUUGGCGAAUCGACUUGUCACGAGAGCGUCAUCCUGUCUUAUAUACUUCUCAGCCCUCUUCAUUAGCUCGGCCAGUGAGGUCGGAGGCUUCCUGCUUAAUGAACCGAAAAACUCGGCGGAGGUCAUCCCUUUCUGCAUGGCCUCCACCGCCCUUCCUUCAUCGAGCUCGGGAAUCUGCAAGGCUUCUGUAUUGAAACGAGCUACGUACUCUCUAAGCGAUUCUUCCCGUCUUUGCCUUACUGUUUCCAGAUAACUCGUCUUCCUAUCCGCUGGUGCCCCGGCGAUGAACCGGCUAAUGAAACGAGUGGCUAGGUCUCCAAAACUCCUAAUGCUUCCAGUCUCCAGGCUGUUGAACCACGCUCGCGCUGGUCCUAAAAGUGUCGUUGGGAAUACCUUGCACAUCAAGGCAUCCGAUAAAGUUUGUAAUUCCAUGAAGGUCUUGUAAUUCAUGACAUGCUCCCUUGGGUUACCAGCGCCGUCGUAGGCUGCCAUGGACGGCAUCAUAAACUUCUUAGGGACAGUUUCCUGCUGCACCCACUUCGAGAAAGGCGAAGAAGUGGGCAGAAAGGUUUGGCUUUGAUCUUUCUUUCCCAGCUCGACCAAAAGCUGCUCUCUCAACUUCUGCAGCUUUUGGUCCACAUCUUCCUCUUCCGGCCUGGGUUUUUUCUCCAGGCGAUACUCCUCUUCCUCUGCUUCACUCCUGGUCCACCUGGUUGUCUCGGCGGAAUAGUUGUCGGCCUCCUCAUUUUCUAUCAUCUCCCUCGCCCUUCUUCCGUGGACUCGGGCCUCCGGCUCUUCCUCUUCUCCGGUUCUUCUCUCCCUUACCCCGGCGCCGCGGCUGCUGGUUUGAAGGCGAUCAGGGGUCGGUUAGGGCUCAUUGGUCUGGGGUUCUUCUACUACUGGGAGUGCGUUCACUGGGUGCCAAGGCCCCUUUGCUGCAUUAUCUGCCCCAACCAGUGGGUGGUGCUUUGUAGCUGGAAUGCGAUAGUUUGGAGGUCUUGGUUGGACAAGGCCACUGCGGGCGCGUUCCCUGUCAAGCUUGGCGAGGGGUUGAAAGAAAUGGGUGGUUGGUUAUUGGUAGUCGUAGGACUAGGAAAAGAGAACUGCUGUCCUUCUUGGGCAGAGUUCAAGUCGUUUGGGAUGUUGAGGUUGUUUUCGUUAUGAUUGGCCAUCGUGGAUCUCAGUGGGUUUGGUUAAGAGUGGAACUCGGUGAUGAAAAGAUCUCCUUCGUUUCCCACAGACGGUGCCAAUUGAUGAUCUGAGAUCCAGAGAAAUAGGGUUUUCACAAUGGGCUCUGUAAAACUUAGAAAAAACUUAAAUCUAGAAGAGAGCAUUUCUCCUUUUAUAGGUUUCCUUUUGUCCGCUAGUGACGUGCCGAUAGAACGAAUAUCAGUAGUCCACCUGUCCCUGCCACGCUGAUACGGACGUACAAAGGGAUCAAAUCUCUGCCCCAUGCAUAACGGUCUCUGAUCCUCUCCAGGCUAGGGUAGGCGGGUCUACAAUAUUAUAUAAUUAAUGACUUUUUCUUGUGCCACUGUACAUUUUCUCUUUUCCUUUCCCACUUCCCACCACUCUCCUCUUCCAUUUUCCUUCAUUUAUAUUCCCUACCACCAUUACCACCUCUUCAACAUUGUCACCCUUAUUACCAUCCUUUUUUUUUAUUCUUAAGUUGUCAGAUUUAUCUCUUCUGCCUUAUCUUACACUGAGAUUCAUGAUUUUCAAAGUUCCUACACUUCUGGCAUCAAGCAGGCCUCCAUUCAUAAAUCACAUGUUGAGAGAAUUGAUGGCUACUCUAUCUUCUAGAAUAACAGCUUCAAGGAACACCCCUUAACAAGUCCAUUUUUACUGAUAUUCUUGCAUAACCCACUUCGCCCUCUUCACAGUUUCCCAUCGUGCUACCUAUCUACUCAGCAUCUCUACAUUCCAGAACUUCCAAGGCAACUCUGGGAGUUGUACUUAUAUAGACAUUUUUUACAUUGAUUCCAAGUCAAUUCUCAACAUCAGCUUCCAUUACAUCAAAAUUAAGGGGUUUUUUUUUUUUUUAUCAAAGAUAUAAAGUCUAUUCUCAAAUACUCAUCUCUUUCUCUCCUCAAAUACUCAUCUCUUUCUCUCCUCAAGUUGGAAGUUAAACUAGUAAAUAUUAUCUUUCAUAAAAGAGAUAGAGUUUAGACUACACCUCUUCUAUUUGCUCAUAGCGAAACUCUCAAUUCCUUGAACUCAAUGAUUCAUUUCAAAUAUACUCCUUAUCAACCUAUUUCUUUAUCUCACAUAUUCACUCUACACAUCUAUCGCUCUGAAUAAUCGUAAUUCCUCUCUGGAUGCCUACUCCUAUUCUAAGAGAAUAAACCUGCCCAAUUUUUUUUUAGGCAAAAGACUCAUUUUAGCCCUUUAGUUACUAGCCAAUAGUCAAUUAAGUUCUUAAAGAUUUUUUGGGUCCAAUCAAGCCCCUUAACUUUCAAUUUUGACCUAAUUAUCCUACAUAUUAUAAUUUUAAGCAAAUUAAAUCCAAAUCAAUAAUUGAAACAUAACUUUAUUAAAUAUUCAUCCAUUAAAAUAUUUUAAAAUUUUUAAAAUUGAAAAAUCAAGAACAUUAUCUCCAAAACUGCAGUAACCUCUUACCUUCAAAACUAACCUAAAAAAUCUAGACAUGUUUUCUUAAUUAGCGAUGUAUGGAGAGUCAUGCUUUCAUGUCAUUCAUCUUGGAAGUUGAUACUUAUCGUUUCACCAUAUUUAUCAUUUCACCUUCAUGAACCGCCAUGGAAGAAAGAUCCACAUUGUCAUCAAACAUAAAUUCACAAACCCACUCAACAUCUUGAACUCAACAUCUUGACCAUAGUAUCAUUAGUAUUUUCAACUAACAUGAAAGUAGUUCUUGAGUUUGGAGGGUGUAUAUUGACAGUGGCAUAUAAAGGAAGCUUAAAGAGCACUUCUAAGUCAUUUGUGUUAGCUGAAUUAAGAGGAGAGAUGCUAGAGAUGCAAGUAGAAAGAUAUUGAGUAAUAAUGCUUUGAGAUUGGGUGGGUAAGUAAACGAUGAUAGAGAUGAGGAUGGAAUGAAAUGGGAUUAGAUUUUAUAUAUUCAUUUUUUUUAUAAAUGAUUUAUUUAGUUUUAUUUUAAUUACUUAAAACAUAAAACUAAUAUUUGAUUCCUUAAAAACUUAUUUGACUUUGUUAAUUAACACGGUUAAAUUUAGAGUUAUUAAACUAAAAUUGAAAGUUGAUGGCUCGAUUGGACCUAAAAGUCUUUAAGGUCUUAAAUGAAUAUUAGCAAUAGAGAAAAUGUAUAUGAUUACUAAAACUAUCGAUUUGACAAAAGCGAUAGAAAAACCCUAAUUGCUUAUGUAAUAUCUAAACAAACAACCUUCCGAAGUCAAACUGUCUCUCCUUUUCUUACGAAUCUAAUCAGAAAUAGGGCAUAAAAACCUCUAGUAUGAUUCUUAGUCUGAUUGACGUUUAGAUAUCUCUCAUUCUCAAAGUUAGAUGAAUCACCAUAUUGGCGCUUUGAGUUUGCCCUCCAAAAAAUGUGUUCCUCUAGUUUCAAAAUCUCCACCCUAUUUUUGUGCAACCAAAUUUAACACUUUAGAAAUGUAUGUUUUUUGACAUUGCUCUGAUCCACUCUCUUUAGACAGGUGCUAAUGUGUUUUAUAUGGACAAAGAUAAUAAAGGAAAAUGCUCUUACUUCUCUCUCCGAUUACCAUAAGUAAUUUGGGUAUUAAAGUUUCUCAUUAUAUUGACUUUCACAUAAUCUGUAGGGCUGAACAUUCAAACUACAUGCACUAAAGUGGAAAUUUUAAUAUAUUUCAAAGACUGAACAAUAUUUUACUAUUUUUUUUUAUAUUUUUUAAUUUUUAUAUAUAAAAUAAUAUAAUAAUAACAAUUAUUAUUAUUAUUAUUUAACAUAGCAAAUUAAAUUUGGUCUCUUAUUAUCAUAAUAUCACAUUAUUAUAUGAAAAUAUUUAAUCGAAAUCAUCUAGAAAGAUCAUAAUAAAAUAAAAUUAAGAAAAUACAUUAAUUUAGUUGAUUUUAUUAUUAUAAAUGAAAUAUUUAAAAACUUUUUUAUUAAUAUGUUGAUAUCUGAUAUUCAAUGAAAUUAUCAAUAACAUAUAUUAAAAAAAAUUAUUAUAGCCCAAUUAUAUAUAAAUCAUAAGUAAAGAAAAAAUCAUCCUAAUACAAUAACAAUUGCAAAAUUAAUAUAAUAUAUUUUUAUUUUAUUUAAAAUUAUUAAUUUUCAAUAAUAAAUUAAAUUUGGUGAUUUAUAAUGUGAAAGAUAUGACUAAAGUUAUAAUACUUUAAUAUUUUUAUUUUACAUAAAACUAUGAAAAUUUAAUAAUAAAUUAUAUUUAGACAUUUAUAAUUUAAAAGAUACUAAUAAUAUUUUUAGCAUAUAUAACAUUUAUUGUUAAUUAUUUUAUUUAGAAUUUGAUUUUAAUAUAGUACAAAAUACUAUAUACAAAAUUUUACUCUUAUACUUGUGUUAUGAAAAUCCAUUUCACCUAAAUUAUCCGUUCCAACUAAUUUAAGAAAAUUUUAUCAAGUAUAUUGCAAGAUUAUACAUGUGUUAUACAUAGAGUUACCUGCAAAGUCAGAGAAAUCCAUUUCACCUAACCGGCCUAGAAUCAAAAAUAUAUUUGACAAAGUCCUUAAUUUCAUCUAAAUCCUAUACACGCACACUCUACAACUAAUGUGAGUUCCGAAGGUCCUCAGUGGUUUCAUAAGUCUGAUUUUCAUUGUUAAAGCCAAUCUUCUUUUGCUUCAGUGGUUUCAUAAGUCUGAUUUUCAUUGUUAAAGCCAAUCUUCUUUUGCUUAUAAUUUUUAAACCAACCAGGGUAUCUAUGUGCCCAAAAGUUUUACAAAUGUCACAUAAUCUAUCUUAACUCUAUCUGAAACUCUUUAUAAAAGCUUUACAACUGAUUAAUUCUCUCACUCUCAAGCUAUACUUCAAAAGCACCACAUUCACAAAUAGUUAAAUGAUGCUUUGAAACACCAAGUUCAUCCCAUAGUUUCUUCAAUUUUGUAAAGAAAACAACAACUAAUAUAGAUCCUUGACUGAAACUACUUAAUUCUUUCUUUAAUUUGUAUAUAAGUGGCUUAAAUCUUUCUUCUAAUUUCCUCCCAUAAAUCCUUUGCACUAUAUGCAUACAAAAAACCUCCACUAGAUCCUUAGAGAUGGAAUUCAAUAUCUAACUCACCAUGCUAUCAACUCUCAUCCACUUCUCAAAACCAGUGGAGCCAACAGGAGGAAUUUGCACACAACGAUUUACAAAUCCUAACUUGUCUUUUGCUCUUAAAGCAUCAUAGAUAUACUCCAACUCCAAUAAUUUAGUCCAUUUAAAUGUGCAGAUAUAAAGAUCAUACCUGGAUUAUCUGAGUUUUAAAGAAUCAAAGGAUCUGAAUUAUUUGCAAUUGGUUUCCUACCUCUCAAUAUGUACCCUGUCGAACCCUACCUUCUCUGACAAAACUAACACUUCCAUUUGCCAUGGAUGCAGAAUAAAAAAAAAAAAAAAAGCUUCAAGAAUUACGCAGCAAGCAAAAAGAAAAAUACCAUGUAUAAACAAAAGCUCAAAGAAAAUUUUAUUGAGUAUAUUACAAGGUUUACAACGUGCUAAACACAAAAUCUCGCAUAAUUUACAGCUGAAAGGAGAAAAGAAACAACCAAAGCAACUUUUUUUGCCUAACUUUUCUCAAACAGUAAGAAACAAUGUGUUUCGCCUUCAUAACAACAUACAAACGUAUCACAAAAUGCACCACAUAAAUAACUCAAUAGGUGGUCCAACACUAAAAUAUAUUUGUUAUAUACCAUAUUGACAAAAUGGUCAUACUUGAUUGUAUUAUUAUUAUAUAAUAAAGAUAUAUCAUACAGAAAUGAUUUCCUAAGUAUUUUUCCUUAAUAUACAGCUAUUGAAACUAAUUUACUAUCACACGAUUCAACAAUCUCAACAAAUAAAAUUGGUAGAUUUCUGUAAACCAAGAAACCAAAAAAGAGGAUGUUUGCUUUUCCCUCAAUUCCCAUAACAUUUUUUGUUUUCUAUAAUUUUAGUGACAUUUCAUCCAACCAACAGCUGUAGAAGUAGAGUGAUUCUCUUACCUUGUAUUAUGGGACUGUAUAUCCUGCACCCUGCAUUUAUAGUGUAGUCUAAUUGUUAAAUCAAUUAUCAAUUAAAGCACACUGGUUUAUAAUCAUUAUUUUCAUUAUUAUUAAAAAUUAUAAUAAUUAAGCAAAAAAGAAUUGCUUAUACCUUUACGGUUAGAAAGGAGAAGUUGUAGUCAUAUCCUUGCAAGUACCUACAAGAGAAAUGAUAGCAUUUUAAAAGGUCAUUGAGCACAAAAAUAAAAAUAAAGAUUCAUAAGCAUUGUAGUACGGAACCAAUUAGUUUUAGUUCUCAACUCAAUUUUAGGACUGAGCUCUCGAGUUAAGGCUAUAGUAGCAGCCAAAAAAAAUUGUAAUGGAGAUGUUGGGUUUACCAGCAACUUGAUGAUUAGAAAUCCAUGACCUCCAUUCAUCAACAAUCUUAUAUCAAAGAGAUCUAGUCCAUGUCUGAAUUCAAGCGAAAGGCACACACAUAUCAUGAUUUCCACCACAGGUAAUUUGCGGUUUUAGAAAUUUUAGUUUUGUGGAAGAGAAUCACAGCUGAUUGAAAUUAAAAAUGAUAUUUGAAGAAGUUAGUUAAAUUACUUAUCUAUUAUAUUUGAAAAAGGUAAUUACCAAGUUGCACUCCAAGAUACACUUGAAUGGUCAAGAUAUAACAACUUUAGUUUGUUGAUCCCUUAUUGCGCACCUUUAAAAGCCUCAGAAUGAGAUUAUUAUUCCGCGAUAAAUGUACUACCAAUUCUGUGGUAGCAUCAUCAGCAGAGAACCCCUUAUCAACCAUUUCAUUGAUUAGUUCUGAUGCUUUUGGUAAAUCCUCAUGCCUGAGAAACCCUUUAAUGAUGAUAUUAUAACAACAAUUAUUUGGUAAACAUCCUACCUUUUCCAUGUCUUUAAAUACCUUAUACGCUUCAUCCAUUAAUCCUUCUUGGCAGAGUCCUUUCAUAAUUGCACUAUAUACAUAAACAUCAGGUUGUAAACCAAUUUCAGAAAGACUAGAAAAAAGUUCCUUGGCAUCAUUAAUCUUCCCAACUCUGCACAUACCAUUGAUCAGACUGCUAUAGAUCACAACAUUAGGUUUCAACUGACUUUUCUCCAUUGCUUUCAAUAGUGUGAGUGCCUCAUCGAGAUUCCCCUGUCUACACAAGCCAUCAAUCAUAAUUGAGAAGGUUACUAUAUUUGGUUGUUGACCAUGAGAGCACAUAUCCUUAAAGAGCUCUUUUGCAUUUUGGGGCCUCCCUGCUUGAAACAUACCCUUUAUAAGAGUAUUAUAAGUAACAGCAUUAGGAACUAAAACUUUAUGAGACAUUUCAUCAAAAAACUCCUUUGCAUCAUCUAUCAUUUUGCACUUACAAUAUCCAUUGAUCAAAAUGUUGUAGCUAAAAAUGUUAGCUAUUUCAUUGGUCACCAUCAGAUCAAAUACCUUUCUAGCCUUAUCAAUUUGGCUGCCUAGACAAUAUCCAUCCAUCAAUGAACUAUAAGUGACAACGGUAGGUUCCACACCUCUUUGAAUCAUUAUUUUGAUUAUAUUCUCUACAUUUGAAACCAGUCCUUUCUUACAAAGAGUGUCGAUCAAUAUAUUGAAGGUAAAAACAUUAGGGAAUAUGUUCCUCCCCACCAUUUCUUUCAACAAGGCCAAAGCUUCCUUGAAUUGGUCGGAAAUGCAAAGACCAUCAAUUAAGGAAGUGUAUGUGAUCACAUCAGGCUCUAAACCUCUUUGAAUCAUUACAUUGAAUGUAUUUUGAGCCUCUGAAGCCAUUCCAUCCUUACAAAGAGCAUCAAUCAAUACAUUGAAGGUAUAAACAUUCGGUAAUAUGUUCUGCUCCACCAUUUCAUUCAUCAAGGCCAAAGCUUGGUUCUUUUGGCCUAAUUUGCAAACACCAUGAAUUAAACUAGUGUAAGUGAUGACGGUAGGUGAAAUGCCCUUAUUCCUCAUUUGAGAGAAGAGCUCUAAAGCCUCACCAACUAGCUCAUCCUUGCAAAGGGCGUCAAUGAUUGCUCCGUAUGUCACAACAUUUGGCCCACAACCUCGAUCAGCCAUUCCCUUUAGUAGCCCAAUAGCCACAUUUGUUUUCCCAAAUUUACACAUUCCGUUUAUUAUCGUACUGUAAGUAUAAACAUUAGGUUGAUAACCACGUGCAACCAUAUCAUGGAAAAAUUCCACAGCUUUGUCCAUUUUACUCUCUAUACAAAGACCAUUAAUUAAGGUAGUAAAUGUCACAGUGGUAGGCUCCAAUCCGAAUUUGAACAUCUUCCCGAAAACAGAGAAGCCAAAAUCCACAAGAUGUAAACGGCAGAAGCAAUUAAUUAAGAUGCUAAGAGAAUAAACAUUGUGAGAGAUUCCUAGCAAUUCAAUUGUUUUGGACAUGGAAAGGACAGUAUGAUAUUGUUUCAUUUUCACAAGGGCAGAUAAGAAUCUAUUAAAUGGAACCCUAGAAGGCAGAGGAUGUUUAUGAAUUACAUGAUUGAAGGAAGCAAUGGCAUCAUCGAGGUGGGUAAAAGAAGCAGAUUUGAAGUUAUUUGUCAAGAAGCGUGCAUCUUCAAGUGAGGAAGUAGAAGAAUGGCAAUAAUUGGUAAAUAAGAAUAGGAAUGGAGAUUGAAUGGUACCAAUUGCCCCUUGUAGCUGAAGAUAGAAGCUCCUGCUCUUUCUCCUCCAAGGCAUCUUCAUCAUCAUCGAUCUCUCGUCAGUUGUUUUUAGGAUGGAUCGGAGAUUGGGAAUGAGGAAAGGAUAUAGAGAAUCGGAAAAGGAAGGCUCUCUGCCUGCUGGUAAAGUGGUAAGGAUAACAAAAUGAAAUUGGGAAUUGUUUAUAUGCAACACAUUUUGUAAUUUUUUUUAUUAAUUUUUCAUAUAAAAAUAUUAAGCCUCUAUAUUAUUACUCAAAAAUCAAAUAAAUCAUAAUCUAACAUAAUAUUAUUUUUUAAUAAUAAAAAUUUUUAUAUGAUAAAACUUUAUUUUAUAAUUUUAAAAAUUAUUUAUUAUAUUUAUAUAUUUUUUAAAAUUUUUAUGAUAAUUAAAAUACUAAAAUUUUAAUGUUUUAAAUUAUAAAAAUAAUAUUUUAUUAUUAAAAAAUAAUAUUAAGUUAGAAUCUAUUUAGCCUUUAAUAAAACUCAUAGUUUAAUUAACUUAAAAUUUUAAAAAUUUUAAAUUAAAUUUAUUUGACUCUUAAUAAAAAUAUAUAGACUUAAUUAAAUUUAUUUUCAUAAAAAUAAUAUUUUAUUAUAACCGUACCUUAUAUCUAAUUAAAUUCAUUUAAAAAUUAAUUAAUUUUGUUAAUUUUAUUUUUUUAAAUAAAAUAUUAUAAAUAUAAUUGUAGAAUAAUGAUUUUUUAUUUUAUUAAAUAAUAUUCCUUAUUUAAUAAAUAAUUAUCAAUGUAUAUUUUUAAAAAUAUUAUUAUAGUCUAAUUGUAUAUAAUAUAGAUGAGGAGAGAAUAAAUAGUCUAAUUGUAUAAUAUAAUUAGAAAUUUAAGAUGAGUAACGUUAUAUAAUUUUUUAUUAUUAAUUACUUUAUUUUAGUAUAAUAAAAAUUAAUUUUUUUUACAAAGGUUAACUCUCAUGAGAACUGUUUGGCACAUUUUUAUUUUGACAUUUUAUUUGAAUAAUAUUACAAUUUUAAUUAAUAUCAGUAAAAAAUUAAUAUAUAAAAUUAUUUCAAAAUAAUAAAAUUUUGAAAUGUUAAACUCACUAAAUAUAUUUUACAUUUUAAAUUUUAUUUUAUUAUUAUUAAUAUUAACGUAAAUUUAUAAUAUAUAAAUUAUUUCUAUGCAUUUAAUAUACAGUAUAUUGUAUUAUAAAUUAUAAGAAAAAUAUUUUUAAAGUAUGAAUAUAUUUAUGUACAAAAUUUCAUAAAAAUUAAAAUUAUAAACAUUUUAUUUAUAAGGUCACAUAAUAAAUGUUAAAUUAGAAAAUUAAAUGACUGUGUGAAUCUAAUCAUAAAAAUAUAAAAUUAUAAAAAAUAUAAUAUUUUUAUUAAAUGUUUAUUGCUAAAAAUUAUUAGUAUGAAUUAUUUAUUUCAAAAAUUUUAGCCACAAACUAAAAUAUUGAGUGUUGAUUAUCUUAUUAUGAAUUAGAAUUGUGUUUUGACUCAAUACUAAAAAUAUUUACAUUUUUUAUUAAUGAUCCUAUUUUACUAAACAUCUUUAUAUUCUAGAAUUUUGAAGGCAAUCCUAGAAGUUAUAGACAUUUGCUUGUAAAAUUAAACGGAUAUGUUUGGAUUUGUAAACGAACAUAAAAUCUGUUUGUAAAAUUAAAUGGAAGCAAAAUGAUUCGCAAAAUGAUAAAUAAUCUAAAUAUUUAGAUUAAUCUAUAUUUAUAUUCAAAAUUUUAAAUUUUUAGAUAAUAAAAUUAAAUAUUUUCAAUUUAUCACAUUUAUAACUAGAGUACUAAAUUGAAUAUGGAGAAGUGUAUCUUUAUGGGCAUGUACUUCCUUCGCUGUAGCUUUUCCUUCGAGAAAAGCGAUAGCAAAACCCUAAACUAGUUGCCUACGUGAUCUCUGAACAAAUCACUUCUUGAAAUCAAACUAUCUCUCCUUCUUUAAGAUCUAAUCAAAAGUAGAACAUUAAAAUAUAUGGUAGGACUCAUAUAUAGUCUAAUUGACGUUGAGAUAUCUCCUUCUCAAAGCCAGGUGAUUUGAAUCACCGUAUUACCGCUUUGAGUUUGCCUCCAAAACACAAGUGUUCCUCUAAUUCCAAAAGCUCCAUUCUAUUUUUGUGCAACCAAAUUUAAAACUUUUAAAGAAAUGGAUGUUUUCUCUCAUUGCUCUGUCCCACUCUCUUUGGACAGAUAAUGAUGUGUUUUAUAUAGACAAAGUUAAUAGAGGGAAAUGCUCUUAUUUCUCUUUCCAAGUGUCAUAAGAAUUUUGGAUAUUAGAGUUUUUCAUUAUAUUAACUUUCAGAUAAUGUGUACCGCUAAAUAUUCAAUUAACAUAUUAAUGGCAUUGACCAUUUAAUCUAUUUAUUAAACCAUUAAAAACUCAAUAUGGAUUUUGAAAAUAUAGAUACUAAAGUAGAGAUUUCAUCUCCACAUAAAACAAUAUUUUACCCUCAUUUUUGUAUAUUUUUAUUAAUUUUUUUAUAUAAUAUAUAAUAUAAUAAUAUCAUUAUUAUUAUUUUAAAUAGACAAUUAAAUUUGGUGUCCUAUUGCGAUAAUUAAUAUCACAUUAUUAUAUGAAUAUAUCUAAUCAAAGCUAUCUAAAAAGAUUGUAAUAAAAUACAAUUAAGAAAAUGUAUUAUUUUAGUUGAUUUUAUUAUUAUAAAUGAAAUAUUCAAUUUUUUAUUUGCUAAUAUAUGUUAUUUAAUAAAAUUAUCAUUAAAUAUAAUUUUUAAAAAAUUAUUGUAGUCCAAUUCUAUAUAAAUUGUAAGUUAAAAAAAACUUUAUCCUAACACAAUAUGAAUUUCAAAAUUAAAAUAAUAUAUUUUUAUUUAUUUAAAAUUAUGAUUUUCAAUAAUAAAUUACAUUUUCAAUAAUAAUAAUUUUCACUAUUUUCAAUUUCUCAUAUCUUUCAAUCAAAACAAACAUUACAAAAUAACUACUUUCAUUCAUUCAAACACUUUAUACAACUAAACCAUUUUUGCUACUACCACAAGCAAUCUCUAAGAGAGAUGAAAAGUUUAUAGAAUUUAACCAUCCUGCGCCCUCCCUAAUAUGAUAAUCCUACUCGUGGAAAUUGUAAAAACGGAGAAGAGAAGUUUGAGGGAGAUGAAAUGAGAAAGAGAAGGGGAGUUUGUUUGAGGGAUUUCUAAAAUUUACUUAGAGUUACAAAUGAACCAAGCAUAGCCGAAUUUUGAAUAGUUCAAAUUUAGUUCGUUAAAAAUUUUUCAAACUCGAGAUGAACUCGAGUUUUACUCAUUUCAAAAUCGAGUCAAAUACUAAUAAGGUUAAAUUUGGCUCGUUUAGCAAACGAAUUUAGACGAGUUGAGUUUUUAUCGAGUUUAGUUUCAUAUAGUUCACGAAUAGUUCAAUUUAUUUACAUGUAUAAUGAGUUUUACUUUAAAACUAAUAAAUAUAAAACUAAAUAAGUAUAUAUACAAAUUCGCUCAUAAACUUAUAAAGAUGAGCUCUUAACGAUCCAAACAUAUGCAAGUUUUAAGUGUAUAAUUAAAAUAUAUAGAGCUGAACUUUAAAAAAUUUAGAUUUCGCUCAUGAAAAUAUAUGCAGGGUUUGAAUUUAUUUCUCUUAUGAUAUUAAUCUCAGCUUGCUUAAUGAGAAUGUUCACAAGUCUAUUCGCGAGCCUGCUUAUGCACUCGAAAACAGACCGAACUUACGAGUCUUAGUGGGUCGAAUACUAUGGAACUUAAAUUUAGUUCGUUUACUAAACAAGUUUAAAAAUUAAGUUUGAACUUGGCUCGUUUGGAAAUCGAGUCAAAUUCAGUCGAGAUUUCGUCGAGCUGAACCUCAAAUAACUCACAGAUAAUUUGGUUCAUUUAUAGUCCUAAAUUUAAUAACAUAUUGAAAUUGUUAAUAAAUUACCAACAAAUUUACUAAUGAAUUUUAAGCUUGUUAGUAAAUUUUAAUACAAAUUAUUUUAUAAAUUUAUAAAUUACCUGCGGAUUUUAAAUCCAGUAGUAAAUUUUUACAUAAUUUAUUUAUAUUAAUAAUUACCGAUGAAUUUUCAAAUUCAUUAGAAAACUAUUAAAAUUACUAAUGGAUUAAAUUACAUUGAUAAAAUUUAUUGGUAAAAUCCGUUAAAAUUCCGAAAAUUUUUUGUAGUGAUUUUAGAAAAUUUAGAUUUGGCUCAUGAAAGUAUAUGUACGAUUUGAAUUUAUUUCUAUUAUGAUAUUAAUCUCAACUUGCUUAACGAGAUUAUUCAUGAGUCUCAUAAACUCGGAAACGAACUGAACUCACGAGUUUUAAUGAGCCGAAUACUAUGGAGCUUAAAUUUGACUCAUUUACUAAACAAGCCUAAAAAUUAAGUUUGAGUUUGGCUCGUUUAGAAAUCGAGUUGAGUUCGAUCGAGUUUUUAUCAAACCGAAUAUUGAAUAUUUACUAAUAAAUUUUAAAUCUGUUAAUAAAUUUUAACACUAAUUAUUUUAUAAAUUUAUAAAUUUUCAACGAAUUUUUAAAUCUAUUAGUAAUACCAAUGGAUUAACGACAAAUUUUAAAUUUUAAAUAUGUUGGUAAAUUUUUACAUAAUUUGUUUAUAUUAAGAAUUAUCGAUAAAUUUUUAAAUUCAUUAGAAAACCGUUAAAAUUACUAAUUAAUUAAAGUACAUUGAUAAAAUCUAUUAGUAAAAUCCGUUGGAAAUCCAAAAAUUUUUUAUAAUGACUUUAGAAAAUUUAUAUUUAACUCAUGAAAAUAUAUGUAGGAUUUGAAUUUAUUUCUAUUCUGAUAUUAAUCUUAAUUUGCGUAACGAGACUGUUCACGAAUCUACUGCUCAUGAAUUCGAAAACGAGCCGAACUCACGAGUCUUAAUGAGUCGAAUACUAUGGAGCUUAAAUUUGGCUCAUUUACUAAACAAGUCUAAAAAUUAAGUUCGAGCUUGACUCGUUUAGAAAACGAAUUGAGCUCGUUCGAAUUUGACUCGUUUAGAAAUCAAGUUGAGCUCGGUCGAGUUUUUAUCAAACAGAAUCUCGAAUAGCUCACGAACAGUUUAUUUCAUUUACAUCCCUAAAUUUACUAACAGAUUGACAUUGUUAGUGAAUUACCAACAUAUUUGUAAAUAAACAUUUAAUUAAUUUAUAAAAUUAAAUAGAUACAAACAAAUCCGUCUAUCUUUCCUUUUCCUAUCAAUCUAAUCAGAAAUGGAGUAUAAGAACCUUUAAUAGAAUUCAUAGUCUAAUCGACAUUAAUCUCUCUUUUUAAAGGGCCGCUUUGAGUUUGCCUUUCAAAAAAUAUAAAUAUUCCUCUGGUUCCAAAAACUCCAGUAAACCACUCUAUUUCUCUACAACCAUGUUUAACACUUUCACAAAUUAAACAAUAUUUUACUGUUAUUUUUAUUUUAUCUCUUUAUUAAUUUUUUAUAUUAUUAUUAUUAUUAUUGCAAAUAGGCAAUUAAAUUUGGGUUCCUAUUAUCUUAAUAUCACAUUAUUAUAUGAAUAUAUUUAAUCAAAGUUAUCUAAAAAAAUUAUAAUAAAUANNNNNNNNNNNNNNNNNNNNNNNNNNNNNNNNNNNNNNNNNNNNNNNNNNNNNNNNNNNNNNNNNNNNNNNNNNNNNNNNNNNNNNNNNNNNNNNNNNNNNNNNNNNNNNNNNNNNNNNNNNNNNNNNNNNNNNNNNNNNNNNNNNNNNNNNNNNNNNNNNNNNNNNNNNNNNNNNNNNNNNNNNNNNNNNNNNNNNNNNNNNNNNNNNNNNNNNNNNNNNNNNNNNNNNNNNNNNNNNNNNNNNNNNNNNNNNNNNNNNNNNNNNNNNNNNNNNNNNNNNNNNNNNNNNNNNNNNNNNNNNNNNNNNNNNNNNNNNNNNNNNNNNNNNNNNNNNNNNNNNNNNNNNNNNNNNNNNNNNNNNNNNNNNNNNNNNNNNNNNNNNNNNNNNNNNNNNNNNNNNNNNNNNNNNNNNNNNNNNNNNNNNNNNNNNNNNNNNNNNNNNNNNNNNNNNNNNNNNNNNNNNNNNNNNNNNNNNNNNNNNNNNNNNNNNNNNNNNNNNNNNNNNNNNNNNNNNNNNNNNNNNNNNNNNNNNNNNNNNNNNNNNNNNNNNNNNNNNNNNNNNNNNNNNNNNNNNNNNNNNNNNNNNNNNNNNNNNNNNNNNNNNNNNNNNNNNNNNNNNNNNNNNNNNNNNNNNNNNNNNNNNNNNNNNNNNNNNNNNNNNNNNNNNNNNNNNNNNNNNNNNNNNNNNNNNNNNNNNNNNNNNNNNNNNNNNNNNNNNNNNNNNNNNNNNNNNNNNNNNNNNNNNNNNNNNNNNNNNNNNNNNNNNNNNNNNNNNNNNNNNNNNNNNNNNNNNNNNNNNNNNNNNNNNNNNNNNNNNNNNNNNNNNNNNNNNNNNNCUUCUUUGAUUAUACCUGUGUUAUAUAUAGAGCUAACCUGCCUUUUAUGAACUUGUUCAUAAAUAAAUUUGGACAAAAAGUCCUGUUAAAUAGCUGAAGGCUGCUAAACUAGCAUUCCAAUCGCUAGUAGGACCAAUUGCAGUUGCUUGUCUCAGUGGCUGCAUAUGUCUGAUUUUCAUCCUCUUUCUUUUGCUUAUAAUUUCUAAACCAAUCAGCAAGUAUCUCUAACAUGCACAAAAGCUUUCCAAAAGUCACAAAAUCUAUAUGAAACUCUUUCCUCCACUCCCAACUUUCUAACUUCUUAACUUUUCUUUUAAGAAUGAGGAAGCUGAACAUAGAAUUAUACUAAAAACAAACUCAUAUCUUUAAUGAUGCUUUAAAACACCAAGUUUAUCCCAUAGUUUCUUCAAUUUUCUAAAGUAAACAACAACUGAUAUACAUUCUUGACUUAUUUCUUUCUUUAAUUGGUGUAUAAGUUGCCCAAAUCUUUCUUUAAAGCAACUGUCAUAGUCAUAGACAUACUCCAAGUCGAAUAAUUUACUAAAUUUAACGGUGCAGAUAGAUAUGAGAAUCCUACUUGGAUUAUCUGAGUUUUGAAGAGUCAAAGGAUCUGAAUCAUUUUGCAAUUGGUUUCCUACCUCUCAAUAUGUACCCUGUCAGCCCCACCUUCUCUAACAAACCAUUUCCCAUGGAUGCAGUCACAAAAACUUCAAGAAUGAUGCAUCUUGCAAAAAGAAAAAUAUCAUGUACAAACAAGAGCCCAAAGAAAAUUUUAUUGAGUAUACUACAAGGUUUAGAAAGUGGUAAAAUCAUAAGAUGUCUCAUUAUAUACUGCUGAAAGGAGAAAAGAAACAACCAAAACAACUUUUCUUGCCUAACUUAACUAACAUCUCAAACAGUAAGAAACAAUGCGUUUCCCAUUCAUAACACCACACAAAUGUAUCGCAAAAUGCACCAUAUAAAUAACUCAAAUGGUGGUCCAACACUAAAAUAUAUCCGUUAUAUACCACAUUGACAAAGAGGAUGUUUGCUUUUCCCUCAAUUCCCAUAACAUUUUCUGUUGUCUAUAAUUUUAGUGACAUUUCAUCCAACCAACAGCUGUAGAAGUCUAGUGAUUCUCUUACCUUGUAUUCUGGGACUGUAUAUCCUGCACCCUGCAUUUAUAGUGUAGUAUAAUUGUUAAAUCAAUUCUCAAUUAAAGCACACUGGUUUAUAAUCAUUAGUUUCAUUAUUAUUAAAAAUUAUAAUAACGAAGCAAAAAUGGAUUGCUUAUACCUUUAUGGUUAGAAAGGUGAAGUUGUAGUCAUAUCCUUACAAGUACCUACAAGAGAAAUGAUAGCAUUUUGAAAGGUCAUUGAGCACAAAAACAAAAAUAGAUAAAGAUUCUUAGGCAUUGUAGUAUGGAACCAAGUAGUUUUAGUUCUCAACUCAAUUCUAGGACUGAGCUCUCGAGUUAAGGCUGUAGUAGCAGCCAUAAAAAAAUUGUAAUAGAGAGGGUGGGUUUACCAGCAACUUGAUGAUUAGAAAUCCAUGACCUCCAUUCAUCAACAAUCUUAUAUCAAAGAGAUCUAGUCCAUGUCUGAAUUCAAGCGAAAGGCACACACAUAUCAUGGUUUCCACCACAGGUAAUUUGCAGUGUUAGAAAUUUUCGUUUUGUGGAAGAGAAUCACAGCUGAUUGAAAUUAAAAACGAUAUUUGAAGAAGUUAGUUAAAUUACAUAUCUAUUAUAUUUGAAAAAGGUAAUUACCAAGUUGCGCUCCAAGACACACUUGAAUGGUCAAGAUAUAACAACUUUAGUUUGCUGAUCCCUCAUUGCGCACCUUUAAAAGCCUCAGAAUGAGAUCAUCAUUGCACAAUAAACGUACUACCAAUUCGAUGGUAGUAGCAUCGGCAGAGAAUCCCUUGUCAACCAUUUCAUUGAUUAGUUCUGCUGCUUUUGGUAAAUCCUCAUGCUUGAGAAACCCUUGAAUGAUGAUAUUAUAACAACAAUUAUUCGGUAAACAUCCUCCCUUUUCCAUGUCUCUAAAUACCUUAUACGCUUCGUCUAUUAAUCCUUCUCGGCAAAGUCCUUUCAUAAUUGCACUAUAUACAUAAACAUUAGGUCGUAAACCAUUUUCAAAAAGACUAGAAAACAGUUCCUUGGCAUCAUUAAUCUUGCCAGCUUUGCACAUACCAUUGAUCAGAAUGCAAUAGGUCACAAGAUCAGGCUUCAACUGGCUUUCCUCAAUUUUUUUCAACAGGGUGAGUGCUUCAUCGAGAUUCCCUUGACUACACAAGCCAUCAAUCAUAAUUGAGAAGGUUACUAUAUUUGGUUGUUGACCAUGAGAGCACAUAUCCUUAAAGAGCUCUUUUGCAUUUUGGGGCCUUCCUGCUUGAAAC